UACGGGGGGAGCAAGCGUUGUUCGGAUUUACUGGGCGUAAAGGGCGCGUAGGCGGCGUGACAAGUCACUUGUGAAAUCUCCGGGCUUAACCCGGAGCGGCCAAGUGAUACUAUCGUGCUAGAGUGCGGAAGGGGCUACUGGAAUUCUCGGUGUAGCGGUGAAAUGCGUAGAUAUCGAGAGGAGCACCUGCGGCGAAGGCGGGUAGCUGGGCCGACACUGACGCUGAGGCGCGAAAGCCAGGGGAGCGAACGGG
rnacentral:rRNA from 1 species